rnacentral:lncRNA from 1 species
CUGUGUCAUCCCCUGAGUGAACAUGGGAUUAGUCCCCAUCGUGCACAGAGCUCAUGCUGAGACCAAGAAGCUCUUCACAACUGAAAGCGUCUUUAUGCAGUACAGUGCGUCUUCCCCAGCAGCAUUCGCUUGGGGCACCUCCUCCCAUGGAACAGGGGCAGUAAUUUCACAGGUGAUGGAAGAUCACACUGACAGGCCUAUUGCCUUUGCUUCACCAUCUCUUGCUCUGCAGAUGGAACUAUGCACAAAUGGAUUGAGAAGCUAGAAAUUUNGGGGCACCUCCUCCCAUGGAACAGGGGCAGUAAUUUCACAGGUGAUGGAAGAUCACACUGACAGGCCUAUUGCCUUUGCUUCACCAUCUCUUGCUCUGCAGAUGGAACUAUGCACAGUCUGCAGACUUCAAUUUUCACUAGUCUUUGUCUAGGAAAGAAUUUAAUCUGCUCACAGCUCAACCACUAGUUUCACCUUUUAACCCAAAGAAAGGUGUCCUGGCACUGGCUGCAGCACGGCUCGGAGCUGGGUGAUGCCCUGGGCACUGACCUUUCACGAGAUUGAAAGUACCAGCCAAUCUACGAAUGCUGAUUGCUAGUAACGAUUGCCAUUGGAUGCGGCUGGUGGAGACUGAAGGGGAACCAGAGACAAUCGAUAUGUUCUACAGGGCACAAAUUGAACCCUUGGAAACACUGUGGCACAACACGGAACUAAAAAUGUCACCUGGCGACAGGAUGAGGACAAUGCCUGGGUGGAUUUCUGCACACAAACAGCUCUGUCCAGCUUUCCUUGCUUUGAAAGAAGGAUUCAGGGGACAUCAAGGCUGCUGUGACAGGGUGUUCACCCCACACUCUCCCCGUAGGAGGCCAGCCUGGCAAUGGCUGCAGCACGGCUCAGAGCUGGAUGAUGCCCUGGGCGCUGACCGUUCACAAGAUUGAAAGUACCAGCCGACCUACGAAUGCCGAUUGCUAAGUAACGCCUGCCAUUGGACGUGGGUUGCCAACUUUGUAAUCCUGAAAACCGAACACCCCUGCCCCACCCCUUCCUCUGAGGCCCUGCCUCUGCUCCGCCUCUUCCUCUGAGACCCCGCCCCCGUCCCAUCUCCCCCCACCCCCAUUGCUGGCUCCCCCUUUUCCAGGAUUCACAGAGCCGGGCCGGGAGAAGAUGAUGCGGAGCCUGCCCAGUUGGGGCACAGAGCAGC